GCAUAUCAAUAAGCGGAGGAAAAGAAACUAACAAGGAUUCCCCUAGUAGCGGCGAGCGAAGCGGGAAGAGCUCAAAUUUAUAAUCUGGCACCUUCGGUGUCCGAGUUGUAAUCUCUAGAAAUGUUUUCCGCGCUGGACCGCACACAAGUCUGUUGGAAUACAGCGGCAUAGUGGUGAGACCCCCGUAUAUGGUGCGGAUGCCCAGCGCUUUGUGAUACAUUUUCGAAGAGUCGAGUUGUUUGGGAAUGCAGCUCAAAUUGGGUGGUAAAUUCCAUCUAAAGCUAAAUAUUGGCGAGAGACCGAUAGCGAACAAGUACCGUGAGGGAAAGAUGAAAAGCACUUUGGAAAGAGAGUUAACAGUACGUGAAAUUGUUGGAAGGGAAACGCUUGAAGUCAGACUUGCUUGCCGAGCAAUCGGUUUGCAGGCCAGCAUCAGUUUUCCGGGAUGGAUAAUGGUAGAGAGAAGGUAGCAGUUUCGGCUGUGUUAUAGCUCUCUACUGGAUACAUCUUGGGGGACUGAGGAACGCAGUGUGCCUUACGGCGGGGGUUUCGACCUCUUCACACUUAGGAUGCUGGUGGAAUGGCUUUAAACGACCCGUCUUGAAACACGGACC
rnacentral:rRNA from 1 species